rnacentral:rRNA from 1 species
GGCGGCAGGCUACACAUGCAAGUCGAGCGGAAACGAUCCUAGCUUGCUAGGAGGCGUCGAGCGGCGGACGGGUGAGUAAUGCAUAGGAAUCUGCCCGGUAGUGGGGGAUAACUUGAGGAAACUCAAGCUAAUACCGCAUACGCCCUACGGGGGAAAGCAGGGGCUCUUCGGACCUUGCGCUAUCGGAUGAGCUUAUGUCGGAUUAGCUGGUUGGUGAGGUAACGGCUCACCAAGGCGACGAUCCGUAGCUGGUCUGAGAGGAUGAUCAGCCACAUCGGGACUGAGACACGGCCCGAACUCCUACGGGAGGCAGCAGUGGGGAAUAUUGGACAAUGGGGGCAACCCUGAUCCAGCCAUGCCGCGUGUGUGAAGAAGGCCCUCGGGUUGUAAAGCACUUUCAGCGAGGAAGAAUGCUUGUCGGUUAAUACCCCGGGCAAGGGAGACAUCACUCGCAGAAAGAAGCACCGGCUAACUCCGUGCCAGCAGCCGCGGUAAUACGGGAGGGGUGCGAGCGUUAAUCGGGAAUUACUUGGGGCGUAAAGCGUGCGUAGGCGGGCUUUGAUAAGCCCGGUUGUGAAAGCCCCCGGCUCAACUGGGAAGGCAUCCGG